rnacentral:misc_RNA from 1 species
UUAAGUUCAGCGGGUAUCCCUACCUGAUCCGAGGUCAACCACAUGAGUUGGGGGUUCUGGCAGGCCACCGCCAGGUCCUAGAGCGAGAGAUGUACUACGCUUAGGCCCAGGCGGCGCCGCCACUGUCUUUGGGGCCGGCCGCGGGGGCGGGGCCCAACACCAAGCAGAGCUUGAGGGUUGAAAUGACGCUCGAACAGGCA